rnacentral:rRNA from 1 species
CGGACGGGUGAGUAAUGCCUGGGAAACUGCCUGAUGGAGGGGGAUAACUACUGGAAACGGUAGCUAAUACCGCAUAACGUCGCAAGACCAAAGAGGGGGACCGUUAGGGCCUCUUGCCAUCGGAUGUGCCCAGAUGGGAUUAGCUAGUAGGUGGGGUAACGGCUCACCUAGGCGACGAUCCCUAGCUGGUCUGAGAGGAUGACCAGCCACACUGGAACUGAGACACGGUCCAG